rnacentral:rRNA from 1 species
AUUGAACGCUGGCGGCAGGCCUAACACAUGCCAGUCGAACGGUAACAGGAAGCAGCUUGCUGCUUCGCUGACGAGUGGCGGACGGGUGAGUAAUGUCUGGGAAGCUGCCUGAUGGAGGGGGAUAACUACUGGAAACGGUAGCUAAUACCGCAUAAUGUCGCAAGACCAAAGAGGGGGACCUUCGGGCCUCUUGCCAUCGGAUGUGCCCAGAUGGGAUUAGCUUGUUGGUGGGGUAACGGCUCACCAAGGCGACGAUCCCUAGCUGGUCUGAGAGGAUGACCGAGCAACCUAGAAGUUGGACACCGUCCCGGCGACUAAGGGAGGGAGCAGACGGGAAAGGUGGGCAAUGGGGGGGAAGCCUGUGCAAGCGGGGCCGGGGGUAUGAAGAAGCCCUGCGGGUGUAAAGUACUUUCAGCGGGGAGGAAGGGAGUAAAGUUAAUACCUUUGCUGAUUGACGUUACCCGCAGAAGAAGCACCGGCUAACUCCGUG